rnacentral:lncRNA from 1 species
GUUUUUCCUCUUUGAAGAAACUCCUCAAGGCCCUUAGCUUGCUCAUUCAUAUUGCAAAGGUCUUCAAGAGCAAAGAUGAAGGUCCCUCUUGCAGUUCAUGGCAUCAUUGCAAACAGUCUCGCACGGCAGAGGAACUGACAAAGGCUGAGAUUGUCGUCAUCAAAAGUGUGCAGAAGGAAAUGUUUGAGGAGGAACUUGCCUGUAUUGCCAAUGGUAAAGACAUACCAAAACACAGCUCUUUACAAAACCUCAGUCCCUACUGUGAUGAUGAAGGACUCUUGAGGAUAGGAGGAAGGCUCAAACAUGCCAACAUCGACUACAAGGAGAAACAUCCUCUCAUUAUUCCAGGUGGUAGCCACGUUGCCAAGUUGAUAAUAGAACACCAUCACCAGCGAGUAAUGCAUCAGGGACGUGUGUUCACAGAAGGUGCAGUCCGUACUGCUGGAUAUUGGAUUACAGGAGCAAGGAGGCUGAUCAAACAAAUUAUCCACAACUGUAUCACCUGCAACAGACUUAGGAAGAGAGCAACUGAGCAAAGAAUGGCAGAUCUGCCUUCUGAUCGUGUCAGCACCGAACCCCCUUUCACCUUCGUGGGUUUGGAUGUAUUUGGCCCUUGGUCUGUGGUCACAAGGCGCACAAGAGGAGGCCAGGCAAAUAGCAGAAGGUGGGCUGUUCUUUUUACGUGUCUUAGCACACGUGCUGUGCACAUUGAACUGAUCGAGUCGAUGGAUGCAUCAAGUUUCAUCAAUGCCCUGCGUCGAUUCUUCAGUUUGAGAGGGCCUGUUAAGCAGAUUCGAUCCGAUUGUGGGACUAAUUUCGUUGGUGCUUGCCGGGAGCUAGGUUUCACACUGACAGACCCCGACGUGUCAAGCAUUAAGACAUACCUGGGAGAAGAGGGAUGCACCUGGAUCUUUAAUCCACCUCACUCUUCUCAUAUGGGAGGAAGCUGGGAACGUAUGAUAGGGUUGUCCCGACGUAUCCUGGAUGCAAUGCUUCUCCAAACCACGCACGCUCACUUGACUCAUGAGGUGCUUUCCACUCUAAUGGCAGAGGUUACAGCCAUCAUUAAUGCUAGACCUUUGUCUCCUAUCACAACAGAUCCUGACAUACCCUUCCUGUUGACGCCUUCCAUGCUUCUCACUCAGAAGGUGUGCACUCCUCUCCCCCCUCCGGGAAGUUUUAUUGAGAAAGAUCUCCAUCGACAGCAGUGGAGGCAAGUUCAACACCUUGCAAACACAUUUUGGACCAGAUGGAGACGGGAGUACUUAGGGACACUGCAAAGCCGGAACAAGUGGCAACGUAACCAUGCAAACCUCAAGGUGGGAGAUUUGGUGCUCAUCAAAGACGCACAAGUGAGGCGCAAUGAAUGGCCAAUGGGACUUGUCAACCAGAUCUUCCCGGAUAAGGAUGGCAGGGUCAGGAAGAUUGAAGUGAGGGUCUCAAGAAAUGGAACUGUUAAUACUUACCUGAGACCCGUGUCAGAGACAGUGUUAUUGAUGUCCCCAAAGGACUGAGAAGUAUGUGUGUCAUGAUGGUAAACAUUGUAUUCAGAUAUAAUCUGUAAAAUCUUGCAGUUAAUGAUGUUUCAGUUGGUUCAUAGUGGUAUUUUAUAAUACCAGACGGGGAG